CACAGACACUUUAUAUAAUGUUUUGGGUUUGUGGUUCUAACAUACAGUACUGUGCAAAAGUCUUGGCACCCUAUUUUUUUUUUUAGUACAAACUUUGUUAUAGAUGUUUAUUUUCUGACUUCUACAUUAUUGAUUCAGUACAAAACCAUUUUAGAUUCCAAACAUUAGUUUUCCAGCACAAAAUGAAAUGUUACAGAAAAAUGUUUGUAUGUCAGUAAAGAAAGCAGCAGAUUCCAUAAGAGACACUUUUCAGAUAAAAACAUAAUGAAGGCUGCUGGGUUUCGCUGCAGAAAUAAGAAGCGAGUCGACAGUCAAAGUCUCCAGAAGAACUGUGGCUGCUUCUGCAAGAUGCUCAGUAACACUUCCAGCUCAUUUCCUUAUAAAACUGCACACACUGCACCUCAGAUACUGCUUUAUUUAUUUAAAGUGAAGGAUCGUCACAUUAAAUACUGACUGUGUUUCAUUUAUUACUGUUUACUGCUCUUUAUAGUACUUUUUUUAAUGUAGAAACAUUUAAUUUCAUUAUUUUUGAAAGCAUCUUUGCUCUACAGCAUUUCUUUGCCUGUGCCUAAGACCUUUGCACAGUACUGUAUGAGUGAAUUUUCAGUGUUAUUAUUUCUAACAAGAAACUGGCGUGUGGGUGUGUGUGUGUACACAACUACCUCUAUGAUUGUAAAAGACCAGCAGGGAGAGGCUACAUUGUGCUUGUCUAAGGAAUGCUGCAUGGCAACUUCAGCAAAAGUGCUGUGAACAACACCAGGACGUCAUUAUAGCCUGUAUGAACCUCUCCAAAGCAUUCAACACUGUUAUCAGUGUUCUGUUAUCAGCUUCUGUUGGAAUGUUCUGGUUAAUUUUGAUAAAUCACGUGACCACAAGAGGUCAAGCAACUUUUCUGUCAGCUCAUGAGUGAAACAGUGGUGUGUGUUGGCACCUGUCCUCUUCAACAUCUUAUGCUUAUAUGUCAUCCAUCUUCUCCAGAAGGAGCUUCAUGAUGAAUGGAAACCUGUUUAACGUCAGGAGCUGUCCAGGGAGCAAAUCCUAGAGCUACAGUAUACUGAUGACUGUGCUCUUGUUGCUUUCUCUCCACAGGAUGCUGUAGUUGUCAGAACUUGCAACUAUCAUGGAUGCACUGAACAUGGCACGGGACUACGACUCCCAUCAGCCACUGCACCUCACCUGAUCACGGCACUCAUGUCACAUGACUGUUUCCACCUGAUUCAUAUUUAUGUUUAAUGAGCACUAGUAUUUAAGUCACUUUUGUACAGCACUUGGUGUCUAGCUUUUGUCUUCUGUCAUCUGUAUCUGUCUGUCUAAUUCAUGUCAUGUUUAUGUUGUUGCCUUGCUUCAUGAUCCUCGUUUUGUUUCUUAGUCUUUAUGUUUCAUGUUUUGUCACUUUCAGUAAACUAAAUCUGCACUUGUACCUGCCUCCUCUACCAAUCCGUGACAGAAAGAUAGACCUUACCAUGGAUGCAGCAGAUUUUUUCAGUGGCCAGCAGGAACUCCUGGCUUCAAACGUCGCUCUGCCUUCCUGCUCCCCUGAGGAUGUCACUCUGCCUCCUCGCUCCACUUUGGACAUCAGCAACAGGAUAGGCCUCUCUGUAUCCCUUACCUUUUGAGGAAAUUCCAAAUGAUGUCAAAAAGAACCUUGACUUCCUGAAGACAGAAUGCUCGGCUCUUUCCAGGCAGGUCCAUGGAGUGAGGGCGAAGGUGAGAGGUUGCAGGUUUCAUUGUGGAUUUAUUGAAGUGCUCACAUUACCUUCACUUGCAUGCGUAUGUGUUUAGUAAGUAAGUGUGUGUGGGUGUGUGUAUUGUACAUAUGAGAUAAAGUCAUUACCAUAAAACCUCCUCUUAAAAUGGACUAAA